UCCAGGAGUCAGCAGUGCUUCCAGGAGGAAUUUCAAGGACCUGCCCCUGCAGAUGGGUGCUCCAGCUCCUGGGAACCUGUCUGCAGAGGGACAAUCCAGUUUCCCAACAGCUCUGUGCCACAGAGGCAGCAGAAUUGGCUGGGGAAUGGCCCAGAGAGCAGGGUCAAAAGAGAAUCAUCAGCAUCAAGGCUGUCAGAGCACGUGGAUGUUCCUUUUGUUCUGAGAAAAACACCCCAAACAAACACGAAAGAAGGCCAAAACAUGGAAAACAGAGGGAAUCAAUAUGAAAGGAAAGCGUUGUUCCAGCUAGGCUAUGUGCCUGGAAGCAGAGAGAGAGAGCCCAGGGGCCCGGAGGGUGGGAUAAGGAUGGAAUCAGGGUGGAAUCAAGUCCCAGCACAACUCUGACGAACAAGGACAAGACCAAGAAGAGAGAUGGACAAAGGAAGAGUUAAUCUUCAGUGCCUGAACCAACCUCAGCAGAGGGCAAGCACUGGUCAUGCACCCUGGUUAAAUUUUUCCACAUUCCCAUUUUGUUGAAGUGAAUCUAGAGAGCUGAUGAAAUGCUCUAGCAAAAAAAGCUGCCAUGGAACCUUGGCAAAAUUGUCAUUAGUUGUCAUGCUUUAUGUGCUUUUGAAGUAAUUUCCUGCUCAGACUCUAGUAUUAAAUAAAAUUAUCCUAAGCACCACCACAA